GGAUACCUAUACCACAUUAUCUCUUCGUUGUGGCAAACGGAUACCACCUUAUCUCUUCGUAGUGGCGAACGGAUAUCUACUUAAAAAUAUACUAUGAACAAUUGUUCAUAGGCUGCAUUCUCUCUUCGUUGCAGCAAACGGCUUCAAUUUAAAUUUCAAAUCACAGUCCAUAUCUUUAUUUUUAUGUUUUUCACCACAAAUAUUUCACAAACACCAAAUUGUUCACUAAAUUAUACGCUCAAGGAAGAAAACUAACAAAAUAAGUGUUGAAGGAUCAAAACAAUUUAAAAUCAACAUGUUACUCUCAUAUGAAAAAAAAUCUACACAAUAGUAUCCACUCAAUAAAUUCUCUACCGUAAAAGGCUCAACUCCAAUCUUGUAAUCAUUGAUUUUUUUUUUUUUUUUGACUCUUCUAAUUUAAGAGUUGAACUACUGCUUAUGAAAAUCACAAUGGGAUUUCUAUUUCUAAAUUACAUUAAAUCUUAAAUUCUAAUUUGACUACUUCUAAAAGAUUCAUAACCUAAUUUAGGAAACUCACCGGUAAUUUGAUCACCAAACAAGAAAUUGAUGGAAUUAGUGAGAAUUUUGAGAUUCUUCAAUUUCCCCAAAACCUUCCUAAACCCUUGCUUCGUGUCUUUAUUAUUUCACUGAAAUUUGAGUCUUCUUCUAAUUGAAUAAGAUGAAUAUAAGUGAGGAACUAUGUAUACAAAACUUCUAAAAUGGUAGAAAUGAAAGAAGAAAAUGUUUUGAGCGGAUGUUAUCAUGAUUUUUGCGUGGCAGAGUAUGGGAAUAGAGAAGAAGAUUUUGUUUUUCUUUUGUUACCUUCCAAAAGUUGCCUCACCUGAUACUUCUAGAGGGGGCAUUAGUGUCUAAUUUAUUAUUAUUAUUUUUAAUUUAUAUAAUACAAUAGAAUAAUAAUUUAAAAUACACCCACACACAUAUAGACUUAAAAAUUAACCAUAUUACUUUAACAGUUUAUUAAUAA
rnacentral:lncRNA from 1 species